UACCAGCACCCCGAGUGGUCGGGACGAUUAUUGGGCCUAAAGCAUCCGUAGCCGGUCUUGCAAGUCUUCCGUUAAAUCCACCUGCUUAACAGAUGGGCUGCGGAAGAUACUACAAGACUAGGAGGCGGGAGAGGCAAGCGGUACUCAGUGGGUAGGGGUAAAAUCCUCUGAUCCAUUGAAGACCACCAGUGGCGAAGGCGGCUUGCCAGAACGCGCUCGACGGUGAGGGAUGAAAGCUGGGGGAGCAAACCGG
rnacentral:rRNA from 4 species